ensembl:lncRNA
CUUAGAAAAUAUAAUCUACCAUAUCAAAUUCUCAGAACAUUGUUUUCUUUUCUUUUCUUUUUUGAGACAAUUUCUCCUUCUGUCACCCAGGCUGGCAUGCAGUGGCGUAAUCAUGGCUCACUGCAUCCUUGACCUCCUGGGCUCAAGUGACCCUCCUGUCUCAAUCCCACCAAGUAGCUGGGACUACAGGUGCACACCACUUCACCUGGCUAAUUUUUGUAUUUUUUGUAGAGACGGGGUUUCGCCAUGUUGGCCAGACUGGUCUCAAGCUCCUGGGCUCAAGCGGUCCUCCCACCUCAGCAGGAUGGAUGGAAGGAUGGAUUACAGGCAUGAGCCACUGCACCCGGCUAGAACAUUGUUUCUGCCUUAUCUAGAAGAGACCUGCAUCCUCACCACCACGUACCUGACGAAGACACAAGAGCAGGCAGCUCAGAGGAGAGUGGUCAGUGGAUAUUUUAAGUCAUUGCUUUUUUUUUUUUUUUUUUUUGAGAUGGAGUCUUGCUCUGUCAUCCAGGCUGGAGUGCAGUGGCAUAAUCUUGGCUCAUUGGAACCUCUGUCUCCCGGGUUCAAGGGAUUCUCCUACCUCAGCCUCCUGAGUAGCUGGGACUAUAGGCACACACCACCAAGCACGGCUAAUUUUUUGUAUUUUUAGGAGAGACGGGGUUUCACCAGGUUGGCCAGGCUUCUCUCGAACUCCUGGCCUCAAGUGAGCUGCCUGCCUCGGCCUCCCAAAGUGCUAAGAUGACAGGUGUGAGUCACUGCGACCAGCCAAGUCGUUGCUUUUUUUUUCUUUUUUAAACACAGUUUCACUCUUAUUGCCCAGGCCGGAGUGCAGUGGUGUGAUCUCGGCUCACUGCAACCUCCACCUUCCAGUUUCAAGCGAUUCUCCUGCCUCAGCCUCCUGAGUAGCUGGGAUUACAGGUACCCACCCCAACGCCCAGCUGAUUUUUGUAUUUUUAGUAGAGACAGGGUUUCACUGUGUUGGCCAGGCUGGUCUUGAACUCCCGACCUCGUGAUCCACCCACCUCAGCCUCCCAAAGUGCCGGGAUUACAGGCGUGAGCCACCAAGCCCAGCUGUCAUUGCUUUUUAAACUAAAAAAAAAAAAAAAAAAAAAAAAAAAAAAAAAAAAGCUUCUUCUUUGUCUCAACCUGCCUUCUCUCAGGCCUGGUUACCUUUUUUUUUUUUUUUUAGAUAAAACAAAAAUUUUAACACUUCAUUUAAAAAAAUAAGCCUUUUGCACUCCCAAGGCCUGGUUACAUUUCUAGAUCUGUUAGUUGUGAUAUUGUUUUUUUUAAAAUAGUAAUUAUUGAGCUAGGCAUGGUGGCUUGUGCCUAUAAUCCCAGCUACUCAGGAGGCUGAGGUGAGGGGAUGGCUGGAGGCUAGGAGUUUGGGGCUGCAGUGAGCUAUGAUUGUGCCACUGUAUUCCAGUUUGGGUGACAGAGCAAGAUCUUGUCUGUCUCCAAAAAAAAAGCCAUCAUUUUGUUUUGCUUAAGUAAUGCAUGUUUAUCAUAGAAAAUGUAGACUGCAGCACAUUAAAAGAAAAAAAUUACUCAUAAAUCCCAUCCAGAAACAAUUAUAUGUAAAUAACUCUAUAUACAAAACGUUAAGACAUGAUGAGGUCCCUUUCAUAUGAUAAAAUAUAUGCAGAUGGUCCCUGACUUACAAUGGUUCCCCCUUCUUUUUUUUUUGAGAAAGGGUCUCACUCUGUCACCCAGGCUGGAGUACAAUGACAUGAUCAUGGUUCACUGUAGCCUUGACUGCCUGGGCUUAAGCAAUCCUCCAACCUUAGCAUCCUGUGUAGCUGGGACUACAGGCGCAUAUCACCAUGCCUGCCUAUUUUUAUUUUUUGUAGAGACAGGAUCUCACUAUGUUGCCCAGACCAGUCUGGGCUCAAGUAUUCCUUCUGCCUCAGUCUCCCGAAGUGCUGAGAUUAUAGGCUUGAGCCACCGGGCACGGCCCACUCACUGGAUUUUUGACUUCAGGAUGGUGUGAAAACAAUGUGCAUUCAGUAGAAACCAUACUUCAAGUACCCAUACAAAACCAAAAACCAUUCUGUUUUUCACUUUCAGUGCACUAUGCAAUAAAUUACAUGGGGGCUGGGCACGGUGGCUCACGCCUGUAAUCCCAGCACUUUGGGAGGCCGAGGUGGGCGGAUUACCUGAGGUCAGGAGUUUGAGACCAGCCUGGCCAACAUCAUGAAACCCCAUCUCUACUAAAAGUACAAAAAUUAGCUGGGUGUGGUAGCAUGCAUCUGUAAAUCCCAGCUACUCGAGAGGCUAAGGUAGGAGAAUUGCUUGAACUCGGGAGGCAGAUGUGGCAGUGAGCCAAGAUCAUACAACUGCACUCCAGCCUGGGAGACAGAGCAAGAUCCCAUCUCAAAAUUAAAAAAAAAAAAAAAAUUACGUGAAAUAUUCAACACUACUAUAAAAUAGGUUUUGACCAGGCAUAGUGGCUUAUGCCUGUAAUCCCAGCAUUUGGGGAGGCUGAAGAGGGAAGAUUGCUUGAGCCAAGGAGUUCAAGACUAGGCUGGGUAACACAGGGAGACCCUAUCUCUACAAAAAGUAGCCAGGCAUGGUAGCACAUGUUUGUAGUUCUAGCUACUUUGACAGGCUAAAGCAGAAGGAUCACCUGAGCACAGAAAUCUGAGGCUGCAGUGAACUAUGAUUAUAGCACUUCACUUGCCUGGGUGACAGAGCAAGACUCUGUUUCUAAAAAUAAAUAAAUAAGUAAAUAAUAAAAUAAAAUAGGCUUUGUGUGAG